GAUGAAGAACGUAGCGAAAUGCGAUAAGUAAUGUGAAUUGCAGAAUUCAGUGAAUCAUCGAAUCUUUGAACGCUCCUUGCGCCCUUUGGCUAUUCCGAAGGGCAUGCCUGUUUGAGUAUCAUGAACACCUCAACUCUCAUGGUUUGCCAUGAUGAGCUUGGACUUUGGGGGUCUUGCCGGCCUAUGGGUCGGCUCCUCUCAAAUUAAUCAGCUUGCCAGUGUUUGGUGGCAUCACAGGUGUGAUAACUAUCUACGCUUGUGGUUUUCCAUCAGGUAACCUUCAGUGAUGGAGGUUCGCUGGGGCUCAUAAAUGUCUCUCCUCAGUGAGGACAGCUUUUUUGAACGUUUGAUCUCAAAUCAGGUAGGACUACCCGCUGAACUUAAGCAUAUCAAUAAGCGGAGGA
rnacentral:misc_RNA from 1 species